AGUCGAGCGGACAGAUGGGAGCUUGCUCCCUGAAGUCAGCGGCGGACGGGUGAGUAACACGUGGGCAACCUGCCUGUAAGACUGGGAUAACUCCGGGAACCGGGGCUAAUACCGGAUAAUUCUUUCCCUCACAUGAGGGAAAGCUGAAAGAUGGUUUCGGCUAUCACUUACAGAUGGGCCCGCGGCGCAUUAGCUAGUUGGUGAGGUAACGGCUCACCAAGGCAACGAUGCGUAGCCGACCUGAGAGGGUGAUCGGCCACACUGGGACUGAGACACGGCCCAGACUCCUACGGGAGGCAGCAGUAGGGAAUCUUCCGCAAUGGACGAAAGUCUGACGGAGCAACGCCGCGUGAGUGAUGAAGGUUUUCGGAUCGUAAAACUCUGUUGUUAGGGAAGAAC
rnacentral:rRNA from 1 species